rnacentral:ncRNA from 1 species
AGCGCCCCAUCUCCCGAAACGGGAACAACUGUUUGAACUGACCCCUUACCAAAAGAACGGGUCCCCAUCAGAAUCGCACGGUGAUGAUCUUGCAAUGCUCCUGCAACAAUUUCAGAAGCUGAGGCUGACCCCCCAUUAAUCAGAACAACGAUAGGCAAUCCACUCGAUAAGUCUCCAGGCAGAGCAUUAUCACGUUUGAUAUCGGUUUCUUUUCUCCCCCUCGUAGAUACAAUUUCCCCUUGAUCAAGGAAGGCAUCAGAGACAGCAAUCGCUUGAUCCAAUAAUCCCCCCGGAUUAUUUCUUAA